GCCUGCUAAGAAGGAGGCGUUUUGCAGUGUCCGGAGGUCUGAUCUCUGCUGCCAAGCUCCUUCCCGUACCUCUUAGACACAGAAAUCAAAGCUGCCCUGAGAGGUUCCCGGGAUCCUCACCAGUGAUCUCUGUUGAUGGAGAUGAGCCAUGAGGUGUUGCAUUUUGGGGCUACGAGAGAAGUUGGGAUGCAACAUGUCCCCUCAGACCUUGUCUCCAAGCCUGCAGAAGGUGGCA
rnacentral:lncRNA from 1 species